rnacentral:misc_RNA from 1 species
GAGAAGAACGUAGCGAAAUGCGAUAAGUAAUGUGAAUUGCAGAAUUCAGUGAAUCAUCGAAUCUUUGAACGCACAUUGCGCCCGCCAGUAUUCUGGCGGGCAUGCCUGUUCGAGCGUCAUUACAACCCUCAGGCCCCCGGGCCUGGCGUUGGGGAUCGGCGGAGCCCCCCGUGGGCACACGCCGUCCCCCAAAUGCAGUGGCGGUCCCGCCGCAGCUUCCAUCGCGUAGUAGCUAACACCUCGCGACUGGAGAGCGGCGCGGCCACGCCGUAAAACACCCAACUCUUCUGAAGUUGACCUCGAAUCAGGUAGGAAUACCCGCUGAACUUAAGCAUAUCAAUAAGCGGAGA